rnacentral:rRNA from 1 species
AACGAACGCUGGCGGCAGGCCUAACACAUGCAAGUCGAGCGAGGACUUCGGUCCUAGCGGCGGACGGGUGAGUAACGCGUGGGAACGUGCCCUUUGCUUCGGAAUAGCCCUGGGAAACUGGGAGUAAUACCGGAUGAGCUCUUCGGGGGAAAGAUUGAUCGGAGAAGGAUAGGCCCGAGUUGGUCUAGGUAGUUGGGGGGGUAAUGGCCUACCAAGCCGUCGCUCCUUAGCUGGGUAGAGAGGAAGGUCAGCCACACUGGGACGGGGACACGGCGCAGACUCCUACGGGAUGCAGCAGUGGGUAAUCUUAGACAACGGGGGAAACCCUGAAGUAGCCAGGCCUCGUGAGCGAUUAAGUUCGUAGGGAUGUAAAGCUCGUUCAGCUGGGAAGAUAAUGACGGUACCAGCAGAAGAAGCCCCGGCUAACUCCGUG